ensembl:lncRNA novel transcript
AGCCCACGGCUGACCGGAGUCGGUGGCUGAUAAUGUGACUUCUAAUGAGUUCAUUCACCAAAUACUAAAUAAGCAAAAUUACAAGUGAUUUUCUUAUUUUGAGACAGGGUCUCCUUCUGUCUCCUAGGCUGGAGUGCAGUGGCGCAAUCAAGGCUCACUGCAGCCUCGACCUCCCUGGCUCAAGCGAUCCUCCUGUCUCUGCCUCUGGAGUAGUUGGGAGUACAGGCACACGCUAACAUGCCAGGCUAAUUUUUUUUUUUUUAAAUAAAUGGAGUUUUGCCAUGUUUCCCAGGCUGAUUUUGAACUCCUAGGCUCAAGCGAUCUGCCCACCUUGGCCUCCCUAAGUGCUAGGAUUACCAGUGUCAGCCACUGCGCCCAGCCCACAAGUGAAAAUUUUAAACUAUAUUUUGUUAGAGAGAGAAGAGGGAACCCGAGGCCUGGAUAACAUGCAAGAUCUUCAUAAGACUUCAUAGCAACAGCAUUCACUUGUCAUAUUUUGAUGAUCAAAUUGGAGAAAAUACCUCUUAAAUUCAAACCUAGGGGCAAGAUUACCUGGCACUUGUCCAGUCUUUCUGCAGUCAACAUCGCCCAGAUUCCAUGCAGAACCCUUUGCAGACUCCUGAGGAGGUACAGACAAGGAGUGUCCCUGUCCUCAUGGUGCUACAUGAAAAGGGAUCAGGACAGCAUAGUGUGUCCUCUGUCUUGAGAAGUUCGCAUCCAGCUCUGCCAUGGACCAGCCAUGCUCAUGGAUUGCCUCUCAUUUUGCUACGGACAGGAGACAGGAAAAUACUGGGUAGAAGAGGGCGGUUCCCGACAAAGGCCCCAACCUCAAGCCUGAAGACCCACGACCCUAAAUGAGGACAGCCAUUUCUGAUUUUGUGCCCAAAAAUUUGCCUUUUGGCCUGCCACACCCAACAUCUUGCCCCUAUAUAAACCCGAGACCUUAGCGGGCACACACACAAUCAGCCAAAUGUUGGGAUUAGCAGACCAGUGGACCAGCGGACCAGCAGACCAGUUAACGGUGGAACAACGCAGCAGAGAAAGAGAGAAGAGGAGGGAUGUCUGAAUGCCAAGGGGAAUUCGGCCGCGGGCAGUUAGAAAAGUCUGGCUGCUGGGCGGCCCGACUCUAGGGGAAGACCACCUUCCCACUCCAUCCCCUGUUCUGGCUCCCCAUCCAUCUCCCUGAGAGCCACCUCUACCACUCAAUAAAACCUUUCAUUCA